AUACAAAUCAACUAAGGAUCUUGUUAAAAUGCAGAUGUUCAUCAUGUAGCUCUUGAAUAAUGACUCAGAUUCUGAACUUUUAACAAACUCCAAGGUGAUGUUCAU
rnacentral:miRNA from 1 species